rnacentral:piRNA from 1 species
UGAGUUUUUUGGAAGAUUCAUGUUACCUUGC